UACGGAGGGUGCAAACGUUGCUCGGAAUCAUUGGGCGUAAAGCGCACGUAGGCGGCUUGUUAAGUCGGAUGUGAAAGCCCCAGGCUCAACCUGGGAAGUGCAUUCGAAACUGGCGAGCUUGAAUAUGGAAGAGGGUCGCGGAAUUCCCGGUGUAGAGGUGAAAUUCGUAGAUAUCGGGAGGAACACCAGUGGCGAAGGCGGCGACCUGGGCCAAUAUUGACGCUGAGGUGCGAAAGCGUGGGGAGCAAACAGGG
rnacentral:rRNA from 1 species